ensembl:lncRNA
UGUGUGUGUUGCUCCCUGCCCUGCCCGGUUUCCCCUUGGGAUGAGCUGAAUAAACAGAGCAGCGAUGGCUGAUGUACACACUGUGAACUCAGGAAUAUGGUGUGUUACAGAUGAACAGCGAGGCAAACAGAGGAUCCUCUGGAGAAUCAUCACAACUCUAAACAGAUUGUCUGUGUUGUCCAGAGGAACGCUUCAAAAGAAUGGAUCUUUUCUCUUUUUGGUCAAAGAAUAGGAAAAAAAUCGAUUGCAUUCUAGCCUGUAAAUGUCAUUGAGUCAUGUGAACUUAAGGCUUUAAAGCAGAGCCUCAGUUUUAACUUCUUUCAAAAGUGAGACUCUUUUAUAAUUACAAAGGGACGUGUGGAACAGACUGUGGAUGAGGACGUCAAUACCGAGACCACACAUCCAUUUGUUUAUCUGCAAUAUCUUCCUUUUGUAUAGACUGAUACUUUUUAUGGAGAACCUUAAAACUGUUCUUGCGUAUCAUGGGA